GACGAACGCUGGCGGCGUGCUUAACACAUGCAAGUCGAACGGAAAGGCCCUGCUUUUGUGGGGUGCUCGAGUGGCGAACGGGUGAGUAACACGUGAGUAACCUGCCCUCGACUUUGGGAUAACUUCAGGAAACUGGGGCUAAUACCGGAUAGGAGCUCCUGCUGCAUGGUGGGGGUUGGAAAGUUUCGGCGGUUGGGGAUGGACUCGCGGCUGAUCAGCUUGUUGGUGCGGUAGUGGCUUACCAAGGCUUUGAAGGGUAGCCGGCCUGAGAGGGUGACCGGCCACAUUGGGACUGAUAUACGGCCCAGACGCCUACGGGAGGCAGCAGUGGGGAAUAUUACACCAUGGGCAGAAGCCGGUUGCAGCAACGCCGCGUGCGGGAUGACGGCCUUCGGGUUGUAAACCGCUUUCGCCGGUUACGAAGCGUGAGUGACGGUAAUGGGUAAAGAAGCACCGGCUAACUACGUG
rnacentral:rRNA from 1 species